rnacentral:lncRNA from 1 species
GGUCGUCUGACUCUUACUUUGAGGGGAGGCCAUUAGUCAUUGGUUAAUUAGUCAUUAGGGGGCCUAGUAUUUAGUCAUUAGUCAUUAGUGAACCUCCUUUGUCACUGUGUGCGACGACAGUGUUUUUGGCUCACGACACAAGUGAAGUUGGCGGCGUGCAAGGAGGUUAUGCAGUAAGGUCUUUGGCGGCGUGCAAGGAGGUUAUGCAGUAAGGUCUUUGGUGAGGCGCUAUAGAGGUUAUGCAGUAAGGUCUUUGGUGAGGCGCUAUAGAGGUUAUACAGUAAGGUCUUUGGUGAGGCGCUAUUUAGGUUAUACCACGGCUUACUAGAAUAAUCAGGCCUCCUCAGCGCGACCGUAGUCUGAAAAUGUGGAGGCGACGCAUAACUAGGUCAGAACGUGGGAGUCACAUUAAACAGUCGAUUGACAUCCCAUUCCUAUAAAUAGCAUUUAACAAAUUCCCUGGCAGAAAUAAAGAAAUAGAUCUAUCCUUUCUUUAAUACCAAAUAGCUUCCAAUGUACACUUUACAUUUCUCCAUUUUUGAAAAUGUUCUUCAUUUGAAUUACAAUUGUUGUUUUUUUUACUUGAAAAACAUUUCUGAAAUGUAUUAGGUCAGGGGAGGUGAGAAGAACAGGGACGGAAGUAAACAAAGUUUUCAAAAUGUCCGCCGCCUUGCUUUGUGAUGUGAAACGUGUGUGUGACAUGAGGAUAGGCCGAGAGUAGUUCAUUUGGAUUAGAUCUAUCAAUUUCAGUGCUUUCUAAUGGAAUAAUGUACAUUGUACAGACUUGUUGGAAAUGGGCAGAAAAUGUUGUGUUACUGGGUGCAGGUUAAAUUAUGACUUUACUGACAAGGUUACCGUUUUUAGAUUAGAUCUAGAUCUAGAUCUAGAUAUCUAGAUCUAGAAUAUAGAUCUACAUUAGAUCUAAGAUAAAGAUGAGAGAGAACGUUGGAUAAAAGCAAUCCCUCGCGACAAUAUACCCGAUACUGCAAAUACUGUUGUUUGUAGUCUAUUAAACAUUUUCCAGAGAUGGAUUUGAAGCUAUUUCUGUCAAAGGAAGGUUAAGACCAAGAAACCCUCCAUCGUUGUUUUUUAACUUGCCCAAAAGUUUAAUUCCCACACCAGUGCCCUUAGCAAAAAUAACAUGUAGGCCUAGAGCUAGAUCUAGAUCUAGGCUAGUUAUUCAGUCAGAUCAGUUGAAAGUGACCAGUUCGAAGAAUAUUCACAAAAAGACAUGGUUUCUUUUGAUUCAUUGUGUUCAUUUAUAGGAGCCAGUGUGUGACAAGGUAGGCUAUGCAGAAACUCUUUGAGUGAAAUAUUUAUGGCCAUCUCACAGUAUUGUGGUUUUGAGAUGAGACAGCACAACUGCUUUGUCAUGAGCAAUAUUUUGCUAAACAAUUUCUGCAAGAUUGGAUAUCCACCAUCUGAGAAAGAACCUAAACAGAAAGUCCUAAAGCUGUCUUCAUAAACAAUGUUAAACAUCGACAAAUGAACACAAAGACAAGAACCACCGCUCAGGGACAACCCAAGCUCUUUUUUUUUAAUUUUCCGAAAAACGUUUCCGCCAUCUGAGACACAAUAGGUCAUACAAGUUGCGAGGAAUAAAGAGGUUACUUUAUAGUAAUGUA